rnacentral:rRNA from 1 species
GCAAGUCGAGGGGUAACAUUUUGUGCUUGCACAAAGAUGACGACCGGCGCACGGGUGCGUAACGCGUAUAGAAUCUGCCUCAUACUGAGGGAUAGCCUUUGGAAACGAAGAUUAAUACCUCAUAGUAUCAUUUAACGGCAUCGUUUAGUGAUUAAAGGUUACGGUAUGAGAUGACUAUGCGUCCUAUUAGUUAGUUGGUAAGGUAACGGCUUACCAAGACUACGAUAGGUAGGGGCCCUGAGAGGGGGAUC